GAGCUGAGAGCCUUGGUUCACAGGAGCCUGCCAGGACCCUGGCGCCAUGAGAGACAGCUUGUGCUGGGGUAGGCCAGAAGUCUGGAUUCCUGGGAGCCUGCUGGGGGCUUGGGGCCACAGGAGCUGCCUGAGGCUGCAGGAGCCAGCAGGUGCUGGGUCAAGAUGGAAGCCUGGGUUCAUGGGAGCCUGCUGGUGCCUGGUGCCAUGGGAGCUGCCUAGGGCUGCCUGAGUGAGCAAGCACCUGGGUGAGCGGGGGGCCUGGUUUUGUGGGAGCCUGCCAGGAGCCUGGUUCCAUGAGAGCUGUCUACAGCUGCUGAAACUGGCAGGUGGUGUGGUGAGCCAUGGGCCUGAGUUCCCAGUAGCCCCGAGGGAGCCUGAUGCCAUGGAAUCUACCUGGGGUUGCUGGAGCCGGAAUGGAAUCUUAAACCAGUCAGUGGGGAAUCGCCUGAUGAGCAGCAGUUUGGUGGCAGCAGUGGGAUUCAAAGGACUCAUCUGAUGGCUUCGGAGAUGAGAAACACAGGCAUUGGUACCCGCAAAACCUUUGAGUUCUCCAUCUUUUUCGCUGUUUCCAAGGGCCGUGGGUCUACUGAGACAUACUUGAUAUACAGCACUGUGCAAGGUAACACUGCUGUGUGGUAUAUUUGAAAGUUGCCAAGAGAGUAGAUCCUAAAACUUCUCAUCACCAGGAAAAAAGCUUUUAUUUCUGUUUUGUGAUGGAUGUUAACUAACCUUAUUUUGGUAACCAUUACAUAAUAUAUAUAUAUCAAGUCAUUCUGCUGUAAACCUGGAAUUUACACAGUGUCUGCUGAACUUUUCUUGAGCACCUGGAGCAGCGAAGAGUCAAGCAGAGGUCUUUCUGGCUGUCCCCCUGCCUCAGAAACAACUUGUACCUCCUCUUACUAGUGUUCAUCUCCACAAUCAAAGUUGGUCAUAAGCAGGGGGAGGGGUGCAAGAGCUUCCCAUGUACUCAUUCAGCAGCUGUGCACUGAGCACUCACUCUGUGCCGGGUGCCCUGGUGGGCCGAAGUGCAGGAUGAAAAUGACCAAGUGGUCCCUGCCCGCCAGGAGCUCACAAUCUAGAGGGGAAAGGGACAAAAGCAAAGACAUGAGAAAGAAAAGAGCAAGUGCUGUAGAGAAACACAGCAGGGGGCUGUGAGGGAGGGCUGGGGGUCACUGGUAGGAGGGUCUGAAAGGCCUCACUGGGGUGACAUUUGCUGGGACCAGAAUGACAGCGGGGAGCCAGCCCUGCACGAGCCUGGUAGCAGUGUGUCAGGGAGAAGGUGCGACUGAUGCAGAGUCUUGCAGGCAAGAGUGAGUUUGGCCGGAAGAGGUUAGAAAGGUGGCCAGUGUGGCUGGAGGGACCCUGGGAGGAGAGAACAGGAGCUGGGGUGGAAGGUAGGGCCAGGGCCUGGUGGGCUGUGUCAGUUACCUUUCCCUCUCUGACUUCAUUGCCCCAGCCUUGCAUUUCAAAACUACAAAUGCUGACUAUCUCACAAUUUGUGUGGAUCAGCAAUCAGGCACGUUUUAGCUGGGCACCUCUGCCUCAAUGAGUUUAACAGGUUGGGGCUGUGGCCUCAACUGAGGCUCGACGGGGGGAGGACUGGCCCCCAAGUUCACUCUCAGCCUUCAGGGUUCAGUUUGGACUGAGAGCCUGAGUUCCCUUCUGUCUGUUGGCCUGGGCACUCCCUUGCUUCUCUCCUCGAUGGGCCUCCACGUUGGGCAGCCCCAAAACACCAGUAUUUGAUUCCUCAGUUCCAGGGAUUCGACAGAGUGAGAGAGAGACAUGGAGUAAGAGGAAGUGAGAGACUUUUUUAGUUAAAAUUUAGACAAGACAUCCCGUCACUUUGGCUGUUAUUAUGUUCAGAAGCCAGUUACUAACCACUUAGUGGUUCCACGGGGAGGUGUAUAACAUGGGUGGGGCUUACUGGGUACCACUGUGGAGGCUGUCCACCUCAUAGGCCAAGAUGAGGUUCUUGGGUCUGAUUCUACAUAAAGCAGCAAACAAUUGAAUGGUUUUAUGCCACAGUAUGGCAAUAUCUGAAUUUCCAUUAGUUUCAACCCCCUCAUGAUGCUGACCUGAAAAUGAGGCCAAGUUGGAUGUGACUGUCCCAAUAUCACAUUCCUGGAACCCAGGCCUAUUUUGAGUGGUGUUCUGUGCUGCGUGUCACCCCUCAUUAUUAUUCUUCCAUCUCUAAGUUUGGGCCUUAGGUACAUGUGACACCAGCCCACAGGGGUAAUAGAUAUUAUCUCAUAUACACUGGGUGACGUCCCUAGGAAGUAGAUUCUAGCCUGAUCCCCAUGGUACAGGUUUGGAGACUGGGGAGGACCUGAGAGGCAGAGUGACUUUCCCAGGAUGCAGAACUGGUAAGAAAAAGGAGGUCUGCAUUCAUCUCUGUCUCCUGAAAGCUAGGACCCUAGUGAGGUUUCCAGGGAGCUGUGGCUAGGGCUGUGUGGGUUCCUUGUGUACAGUUCAGGAGAUGACAUGGGGGAGGAGGGUGAGCAGCCCGGGGGCAGGGAGCAGCUCUGGGCAAGUCUGAUUGAGGGAAGGGGCCCAGGUAAUGGAAUCUUGAAAAAUGACCUCACUUCUUUGGUCACAGACCUCAACAGGUCUUAGAACUCUGGUAAUCAGGCACCCACAGACCCCCAUCCAGCUCACUUGACUGGCGACGGUCAACAGACAAAGAUGUUUAGUUGUUGUGUCCCGAUUUUUGGAAGAUCUGGGCUCAGAAGAGCCCAGAAAGAGAAUCUUUUUCGUCGUUGCUGACGUUGGCUCAGCCCUCAUCCCCGAUGCCUCUGGGCAUCUGGCAGGAGGCAGCGAAAGGUAACAACGGGGCAGCCCAGGAAAGGCUGGUGCAGGCCAGGACACAACUGUGAUCCCACCUGAUCAGCCCCACACUCCUUGCCCCUCGUCGUGUGUGUGUGUGUGUGUGUGUGCAUGUGUCUGUGUGGAGGGGGGAAGGCAGGGCAUGAGGGGUGGG